UCAGAACGACUUUCAAUCUAAUGUAUUUCAAUAGGAAGUAUUUUUCGUGCCUGCAGCACGUUUUUUUGUCCUAUUAUUUUUUCGUGUUUUCCAGCACAAAUUUAAUCUAAUGUAUUGCAAUAGUAUAUACCCGGGAGCUGUAUUGUUUUACUUUAUUUGUCAUUAAUUUAUUACACUUUAAGCGCUACUUUACUCAACAUUUAAUCAGGAGACGUUUAUCCUUUUUUAUUUGUUUAAUAUUCUGCAUGAUGAUCGACAUUGUAAACCAUCGUCAGCAGUACAUAAUUGUUAAUUUACGAGACUGCAGAGUUUUGCUACUGCAAUCGUUUCCAAAUGUUGCCGUUUUUUCUGAGAAAUAUUGAUUUUUUUUCGAUCGGUUUCGUGUGUCAAAUACAAGAUUAAAUACUACAGUACCCAUGAGCCUUAUCGACAUCUACUAUGGUAAAGGCACCAGCUAAAACUACAUGUGGGCCCGCUGCAGAUUACAAUAUUUUCUCAACACAUGAACACUAACGUGUGCUUGAUAGUUCAACAAUACGAUGUUAUGGCCAUCAAAUUUGAUUGUUUCUACUUUGAUUGUAAAAAAAAGUCCGUUUCGGACGCCUGCAUUUCCCAGAAUCCUCUCUGCCUCCGUUGCUAUGGAAUCUGAGCCAGUCCUCUUUGCUAUUGGGUGAUUUCUUCUUCGGUACUCGUAAUUGACUGGGAUUCUCUCAUUACGCGUAAAUCACUGUCCAGAUCCUGUCAAUCGAAUCACCUGUUACAACUUAGAUUUAAUGUUGCUUAUUUUAUAAACCCAAAUGCAAUUUUAAGACCAAUCUAUCCUCUCUUUCUUUAUCAUUUUCUGUCUAUUUCUUGCAACCUAUCUCUACAUACUGCAUCUGUUGUACCUGUCUGUCCAGCUGUGUGUUUGUCCUUCUGUCUUUGUCUGCUUUGCAAUGGCCACCAGAUAUACCCCUCACAAACAGGAUCCCCACUACCAAGAGGGGAGGCUCAUGGCUCUUGAGCUGAACCAUGACCACAUUCUAGCUGAAGCCAAGAGAGCAGCUGUGGAGACGAAAUGUUUAUGCCCUAGAAGAGACCCUUCACAGACCUCUAAAAGGAUCUUUGUUGGCUGGGGCAAGCCGAGGGGGAGGCAAGGAGGGUGACGCCAAGCCUCAGCUACAGGUGAAUUUUACAGGGUUGAGUGCUUCCUGUCAUCCAGUGUGGAGAUUCCACCUAACUGUACCCUCAGCAAAACUAAAUCCUCAUGAGGAAUUUGGUGCAGAGAGUGGUUCUGUGGGGACCCUGAUGUAUUACGUCACAAAAAACAGCCACUCCACAAUAGGGAAUGUGUAAUUAAUAGUUUUUUUAAAGGCAUCCGUCCAACCAAAUGCAUCAU